rnacentral:rRNA from 1 species
UACGAAGGGGGCUAGCGUUGUUCGGAUUUAUUGGGCGUAAAGCGCGUGUAGGCGGGUCGUUAAGUUGGGGGUGAAAUCCCGAGGCUCAACCUCGGAACUGCCUUCAAAACUGGCGACCUGGAGCAAGAUAGAGGCAAGUGGAAUUGCGAGUGUAGAGGUGAAAUUCGUAGAUAUUCGCAGGAACACCAGUGGCGAAGGCGACUUGCUGGAUCUUUGCUGACGCUGAGACGCGAAAGCGUGGUGAGCAAACGGG